GAUAGAAUAGCCAUUUUUCAAGUGUAUUGCUACAGAAGAACAUCAAGGCAAAGCAGAGGUUUGCAGUGGGAUAGAUUUUCAGUCUCUGCAUAUAGCAGUGGGACAUCCCACUUGUGAACCUUACUUCCUAUUUGGGGACAGAAACAUCUUAUAGCCCCAGGAACCCUACACUCAGAGACUCAGAUAAGAGCUGGUCUCUGGACUGGAGUGAGACAAAGAGAAAUUUCAACCAGAAGAAUUUCUAUCAUGCUCUGCCCUGGCCUGCUGUGGGCGUUCCUGGCCUCCUUUGGCUUCAGAUCCGGCAUGGCUGAGAAAGUGAUCCAAAUGCAGAAUACGGUAAUAAUUCAGGAAGGAAAAGCUGCCACCAUGGAGUGCAAGUAUGAAACCAGUUGGAGUAAUUACUAUACUUUGUAUUGGUACAAACAGCCUCCCAGUGGAAGGAUGCAUUUCCUCAUUUACCAGGAUGAAAGCAAGCCAAGUGCAAAGCAGGGUCGCCUCUCCAUGAACUUUCAAAAGACAGAAAAAUCCAUCGCUCUCACCAUCUCUCUCGUACAACUGGCAGACUCGGCGGUGUAUUUCUGUGCUCUCAGUAGUUCCACGGUAAUAAAAAUAAUAGUGGAAGAUGAACAAAAACCUUGGAGCUCCACAAAGGCAGCCACCUGCUUAGAGGCUUAGGAAAAACCCAUGAACCACUGACAGGAAGAAGGAAGGCACUGUGGUAGCCCAGUUGAGACUUUCUAAUGUAAACUUCCUUCCUAUUAAAAAAAAAGUUCUCCUAAUUGAGCUCAGUGUAUAAAACAAUAUUGUUCCCUGAGAUUGCCAAGUAUUACAUUUGUAUCUUGGGUUAAAGUAAACCACCCAGUGCUUCUCUAAUUGUCCCUAAACAGUUAGGCUUGUUAAAAAGGAAACAGAAGGCUCAAAAUGGAGUCACUUGUGCUAAACCCCACAUCAGUAAACCAAGACUUAAUCCCUAACCUAACUGUAGUUCCAACCUUCCAGGAAUGUAAACUUUAACCAGUUAACAUGGAAUUACCUAGUCAGCAUUAGUGAGAUAACCUGCCAGACAGAUCCCCUCUGUUCCCCUUAGAAAAGCGACUUGCCUAAAACAAUGCAUUAUUUGCUAAUAGUUUCCUUUUUCUGCCCCCUUUUCACCAAAUCCUAUGCUAAACAACAAACAGUGCGGGUUUUGGGAAAUGCCUUCAAACACAGGAAGAAGAAAGUACUAAGGAAAGUGAAAAGAAUUUGGUUGAGAGUGAGUUUUACAACUACUUCUGGGAGAAAAAAACCUAACAAGAAAUAGUUCUAAAAUCCCUGAGUGACUGAAAAUAAUUCAGUCUUCCAUCUCAGAGUAUUGUGG